rnacentral:rRNA from 1 species
UACGAAGGGGGCUAGCGUUGUUCGGAAUUACUGGGCGUAAAGGGCGCGUAGGCGGACGCGCAAGUCAGGGGUGAAAUCCCGGGGCUCAACCUCGGAAUUGCCUUUGAGACUGCGUAUCUUGAGGACGGGAGAGGGUCGUGGAAUUCCCAGUGUAGAGGUGAAAUUCGUAGAUAUUGGGAAGAACACCGGUGGCGAAGGCGGCGACCUGGACCGUAUCUGACGCUGAGGCGCGAAAGCGUGGGGAGCAAAC